GCACCAAUGGUUUAGUGGUAUGACACGACUCUCCCAAAAAGGAAAUUCAAUUGAAAUAAAAGUAAUUUCCCGAUUAGUGGCUAAGUCGAGACCCGGGUUCGAACCCCGGUUGGUGCA
rnacentral:tRNA from 1 species